rnacentral:lncRNA from 1 species
AUGGAGAAAGACUUGUUGAAAUUGGGUCCCAAAUGGGCUAAGAACUCGAAAACAUUGCGUUGAACAACUAAAUUAGUUAUCUAGUGUUAUUUGGGGUUAGAAUAUGCUAGAAUACAAUAACUUUGAUUGAUUACAUGUGCUAGAGAUGCAUGAAGAGUGUUUAGAAGUGUGUAGAAAAACUUGUAGAAAUUGGGUCACAAAUGGGCUAAGAACUCGGAAACAUUGCGUUGAACCACUAAAUGACUUAUCUAGUGUUGUAUGCGGUUAGAAUAUGUUAUAAAACUAUAAAUUUGAUUGAUUACAAGUGCUAGAGAUGCAUGAAUAGUGUUUUCAAGUAUGGAGAAAGACUUGUUCAAAUUGGGUCCCAAAUUGGCUAAGAACUCGGAAACAUUGCGUUGAACAAGUAAAUGAAUUAUCUAGUGUUGUUUGGGGUUAGAAUAUGUUAGAAUGCAAUUAAUUUGAUUGAUUACAAGUGCUAGAGAUGCGUGAAGAGUGUUUUUAAGUAUGGAGAAAGAGGUGUUGAAAUUGGGUCCCAAAUGGGCUAAGAACUCGGAAACAUUGCGUUGAACAAGUAAAUGAAUUAUCUAGUGUUGUUUGGGGUUAGAAUAUGUUAGAAUACAAUGAAUUUGAUUGAUUACAAGUGCUAGAGAUGCGUGAAGAGUGUUUUGAAGUAUAGAGAAAGACUUGUUAAAAUUGGGUCCCAAAUGGGCUAAGAACUUGGAAACAUUGCGUUGAACAAGUAAAUGAAUUAUCUAGUGUUGUUUGCGGUUAGAAUAUGUUAGAAUACAAUGAAUUUGAUUGAUUACAAGUGCUAGAGAUGCGUGAAGAGUGUUCUGAAGUAUAGAGAAAGACUUGUUAAAAUUGGGUCCCAAAUGGGCUAAGAACUCGAAAAAAUUGCGUUGAACCACUAAAUGACAUAUCUAGUGUUGUUUGGGGUUAGAAUAUGUUAGAAUACAAUGAAUUUGAUUGAUUACAAGUGC